UUUGUAUGUGGGCCACUGGGU
rnacentral:piRNA from 1 species